GUGGGGAUUCGCGACGUUUACUGUGAAAAAAUCAGAGUGUUCAACGCAGGCUUACGCCUUGAAUACAUUAGCAUGGAAUAAUGAGAUAGGACCUUGGCGGUCUAUUUUGUUGGUUUGCACGCCGAGGUAAUGAUUAAAAGGGACGGUUGGGGUUCUUCGUAUUCAAUUGUCAGAGGUGAAAUUCUUGGA
rnacentral:rRNA from 16 species